GUUUAAAAGGCGAACUUAACACAGUGAGAAGGCAACGGGCUGAGUCAGCUGGGGUCGUCGGUUCGAAACCCGCUGAAGAAGUCUGAUGAGAAAAUGUGGUGAUUUCCGAAAUAGCAUUCACUUCUAAGAGAUAAGAGAUAAGAGAUCAGAUAACAGUUUAUUUCAAAAUGCAAAGAUCACCAAGACGAACACGCAAUUUCACAACAACAACAGAAAAUCAACAUGAAAAUCCAAUACACACAUCACAAAGUAUACAAUCUAAUAACUUUCCAAAUGAAAAUAACUUAAGUGCGAAUUUAUCAAAAUCUGUUAAAUUGCCUUAUUUUGUGGAAGAUUGUUCUGAAGCAUGGUUUCUCCUUGUGGAGGGACAGUUCGAAAUUAACAAUAUACGUGAAGAUAAAAUCAAAUUUCAAAA